ACCGUAAUGCAGCCGCGCCGAUGGCGCGCCGGUCACAAGCCCGAAAAAUGCAGAGUGCGGC
rnacentral:ribozyme from 2 species